AUAUUAGGUUUAUAGUAGGAUAGAUUAGUAAAAUUUUCAUUUUUUCUUUUAAUCAGAGGAAAUGUAUAACAAUUGAGAAAAACGGUAUUUUUAUCAUGCACUAUACUAUUGAA